rnacentral:rRNA from 1 species
CCCUUAGAUGUCCUGGGCCGCACGCGCGCUACACUGACAUGUUCAACAAGCCUCCUAGUUCGACAGGAUUGGGGAAAUCUUUGAACGCAUGUCGUGAUAGGGAUAGAUCAUUGCAAUUAUUGAUCUUGAACGAGGAAUUCCUAGUAAACGCGAGUCAUCAGCUCGCAUUGAUUACGUCCCUGCCCUUUGUACACACCGCCCGUCGCACCUACCGAUUGAAUGUUUCGGUGAAGAUUCCGGAUAGGACUUUUUUGAUUUAUUUCAAUUUUGUCUUAAAAGCUAUCUAAACCUCAACAUUUAGAGGAAGGUGAAGUCGUAACA